rnacentral:rRNA from 1 species
GACGAACGCUGGCGGCGUGCUUAACACACGCAAGUCGAACGGAAAGGCCCUGCUUUUGUGGGGUGCUCGAGUGGCGAACGGGUGAGUAACACGUGAGUAACCUGCCCUUGACUUUGGGAUAACUUCAGGAAACUGGGGCUAAUACCGGAUAGGAGCUCCUGCUGCAUGGUGGGGGUUGGAAAGUUUCGGCGGUUGGGGAUGGACUCGCGGCUUAUCAGCUUGUUGGUGGGGUAGUGGCUUACCAAGGCUUUGACGGGUAGCCGGCCUGAGAGGGUGACCGGCCACAUUGGGACUGAGAUACGGCCCAGACUCCUACGGGAGGCAGCAGUGGGGAAUAUUGCACAAUGGGCGGAAGCCUGAUGCAGCAACGCCGUGUGCGGGAUGACGGCCUUCGGGUUGUAAACCGCUUUCGCCUGUGACGAAGCGUGAGUGACGGUAAUGGGUAAAGAAGCACCGGCUAACUACGUG